rnacentral:rRNA from 1 species
AGUAUUGGACAAUGGGCGAAAGCCUGAUCCAGCCAUGCCGCGUGUGUGAAGAAGGUCUUCGGUUUUUAAAGCCUUUUAGGUUGGGGGGAGGGGCGUAAGGUAAUUCCUUGCCUGUUUUGCCUUUCCGACAGGAUUAGGCCCGGGUAACUUCGUUCCCACAGCCGCGGUAAAACGAAGGGUGCAAGCGUUAAUCGGAAUUACUGGGCGUAAAGCGCGCGUAGGUGGUUUGUUAAGUUGGAAGUGAGAGCCCCGGGCUCAACCUGGGAACUGCUUUCAAAACUGGCAAGCUAGAGUAUGGCAGAGGGUGGUGGAAUUUCCUGUGUAGCGGUGAAAUGCGUAGAUAUAGGAAGGAACACCAGUGGCGAAGGCGACCACCUGGGCUAAUACUGACACUGAGGUGCGAAAGCGUGGGGAGCAAACA